AACGAACGCUGGCGGCGUGCUUAACACAUGCAAGUCGAACGAGAAGUACGUAGCAAUACGUAUUGUAAAGUGGCGCACGGGUGAGUAACACGUGGGUAAUCUGCCCUUGAGUUUGGGAUAACCCCGCGAAAGCGGGGCUAAUACCGAAUAAGACCACGAAGACCAAAGUCUUUGGGGUAAAAGGUGGCCUCUAUUUAUAAGCUAUCACUUAAGGAUGAGCCCG
rnacentral:rRNA from 1 species